UUUGAUCCUGGCUCAGGACGAACGCUGGCGGCGUGCCUAAUACAUGCAAGUAGAACGCUGAAGAGAGGAGCUUGCUCUUCUUGGAUGAGUUGCGAACGGGUGAGUAACGCGUAGGUAACCUGCCUUGUAGCGGGGGAUAACUAUUGGAAACGAUAGCUAAUACCGCAUAACAAUGGAUGACACAUGUCAUUUAUUUGAAAGGGGCAAUUGCUCCACUACAAGAUGGACCUGCGUUGUAUUAGCUAGUAGGUGAGGUAACGGCUCACCUAGGCGACGAUACAUAGCCGACCUGAGAGGGUGAUCGGCCACACUGGGACUGAGACACGGCCCAGACUCCUACGGGAGGCAGCAGUAGGGAAUCUUCGGCAAUGGGGGCAACCCUGACCGAGCAACGCCGCGUGAGUGAAGAAGGUUUUCGGAUCGUAAAGCUCUGUUGUAAGUCAAGAACGAGUGUGAGAGUGGAAAGUUCACACUGUGACGGUAGCUUACCAGAAAGGGACGGCUAACUACGUGCCAGCAGCCGCGGUAAUACGUAGGUCCCGAGCGUUGUCCGGAUUUAUUGGGCGUAAAGCGAGCGCAGGCGGUUUGAUAAGUCUGAAGUUAAAGGCUGUGGCUCAACCAUAGUUCGCUUUGGAAACUGUCAAACUUGAGUGCAGAAGGGGAGAGUGGAAUUCCAUGUGUAGCGGUGAAAUGCGUAGAUAUAUGGAGGAACACCGGUGGCGAAAGCGGCUCUCUGGUCUGUAACUGACGCUGAGGCUCGAAAGCGUGGGGAGCGAACAGGAUUAGAUACCCUGGUAGUCCACGCCGUAAACGAUGAGUGCUAGGUGUUGGAUCCUUUCCGGGAUUCAGUGCCGCAGCUAACGCAUUAAGCACUCCGCCUGGGGAGUACGACCGCAAGGUUGAAACUCAAAGGAAUUGACGGGGGCCCGCACAAGCGGUGGAGCAUGUGGUUUAAUUCGAAGCAACGCGAAGAACCUUACCAGGUCUUGACAUCCCGAUGCUAUUUCUAGAGAUAGAAAGUUACUUCGGUACAUCGGUGACAGGUGGUGCAUGGUUGUCGUCAGCUCGUGUCGUGAGAUGUUGGGUUAAGUCCCGCAACGAGCGCAACCCCUAUUGUUAGUUGCCAUCAUUCAGUUGGGCACUCUAGCGAGACUGCCGGUAAUAAACCGGAGGAAGGUGGGGAUGACGUCAAAUCAUCAUGCCCCUUAUGACCUGGGCUACACACGUGCUACAAUGGUUGGUACAACGAGUUGCGAGUCGGUGACGGCAAGCUAAUCUCUUAAAGCCAAUCUCAGUUCGGAUUGUAGGCUGCAACUCGCCUACAUGAAGUCGGAAUCGCUAGUAAUCGCGGAUCAGCACGCCGCGGUGAAUACGUUCCCGGGCCUUGCACACACCGCCCGUC
rnacentral:rRNA from 1 species